GCGGGCAAAGCCUUCGUCCUCCUCCGACCUCCCAUCGCCCCGUUCGUAGGCAAAGCCUCUCCCUUCGAAGUCUGGCUCUCGCGAGAGUCCCCGCGCGGAUCUGUUCCGGAAGAGUGCCCCUACAUGGUUUCAUCUCCCUGGGUGCACGUGUCUACUUGAAUCCGUGCCUCUUGGUUAUUUCGGCGCCUAUGCCUAUCGGAGAUCGAUUAUUGCGCUUCUUCUCCUCCCUCCUUCAUUUGGGAAGAUUCGAGAUAGGUUCCGUCUUGGUCUCGUCGCUAUUGCCCGCGCGAUUUUCGCGGUAAGGUUCCAAAGGGUUCUUGCUGUGGAAGGGUCUAUGGGUGCUGCGCUAGGGGUCUUGACACCGGGUAGAGUGUGACCUUUUGGUGGAGCCUCUCAAGGAACAAGGGUUCAUUUUGGCCACGCUUCUGGGUCCGUCUGCGUUCUUUUUCGACGGCGGAGAUGGCCAUCACUACAUUGUGGCCAUGGAAGAUGCUUGAAGCUAACGAAAGAAAGGUUGGUAAAGUUCGAUUUAUACCAACAGACAGUGUGACGACUCCUUCAUUCAAGCCAUGGAUGAGAAGGUAGAUAGCAUUGAUCAAAGUAAAUGUUAACCACACUACAUUUCCAAUGCUUAUUCUUCUCAAGGCAGACAGAGAAAGAGAAGAGAGAAAAAGAAGUGCCUACAGGAGAGAGAGAGAGAGAGAGAGAGAGAGAGAGAAACAGGAAAAUUUGUGGUUGGCUGGACAAGCAAGUAUGACCACUUUUACAGGUGAAGAGAAGUGUCGACUUCUGUUUCAUUGGACAUCUUCAUGCUAACAUCACUGGACCACAAGCAUAACGAGAGAGAGGUCUUAAACGACUGGAUUUCGGUGCAGUUGACAUGGUACUCGGCCUGAAGGGAUGAAGAACCACACAGAGGCCUGGAAGGAUGUGCCAGGUCACGGCAGAAGAACCACUUGGGUUGUUCAGCUUCAGCAAUCAUUCGCAGUAUCCGCUUCUCCUCCCUCAUCUCUUUGAUUCGCUGCAGCUGCCUGAACCUCUCUUGCAGCAAUGCGAUGGAUGAGCAGCGGGCUGUAGUAUCAUUACUUUGCCUUCCCAUGGAUCGACCGAAAUUGAUUCCACAAUCGGGAAUGGGUGGGUUGUGUUGCAGUGGAAGUGAUUUGUUUUUUUGGGGGGGAUUUCACAGGGUGUCUGGGAGAGAGUCAUGAAUUUAUAGGGAGCACGAGUUGUCUUCUUCCUUUCAUCCAUUGCAUGUCUCCUUAGCACUUGGUUGAUUCGGGACGAAUGUAAAAGAGAGAGGAGAAUCAGCAUUGGAGGUGCAAAGUCCAAGAAGGCAAGGCUUUUGUGGCUUUCUAAGGAGUUGGGUUUGGUUAAUUUGGAUCCAUGCAAAAAGACCUCUGAAUGGGGAACAGGAUCGGGAGAUAAGUCCAAAGGUUGGUGGAUUUAGCAUUUGGAGGGGCUUCUCCAAGGGAAUAACAGGUAAUUCUUACCUAUCACUUUGCCAUGCAGGAGAUGGUACUUUUUUUGUUAGUGCUUGUAAGCGUGCUCUUGCAGGUACCCAAAGGUGGAUAACUACUUCCAGACAUGGUUAUUCAUGUCUUCCAGCUUCCAUGCAUUAAAAUUUGAAUGUUCUGGACGGGGCUAAGUGAUCGUGAGAUGUGUUGCAGGUUGUGUUCAUAUCCUUGAUGUGUGAAUAUUUCCAGGCUUGCGAGAGGGGGCAUUUGGUGGGGGAAACACUGGUGUUGGAAGGGGAAUAUAUCUUGGGUCUGAUGAUGUCGUGUGGAGAAGAGUGUAUUAGGCUUGUUCCUUUUCCAAAUCUACGCACAUCUUUUCUCCCACUUUAUUUUGUCCGGUGUGAUUGGAUGGAAAUGGCAUGCAUCCUCUGCAGAGCUUCCUGGUGGACUGUGAAAACUAACAGGGCACCUGCUUUUCUAUCUUAUCCUGCCUCCAUUCCAUUCCUUAUUGCCAAUCUCAAGAAACCUUUGUGUUUAUUUUCUUUUCAAUCUCUUCGAUGGGAGGCUUGGAAUCCAUCCACACUUUGAUCAUAGGCUUAGUUGGUGGAUGUUGAUCUCUUUUUCUUCUGAACCAGUUUCCUUUUGGCUUCGGUCGAGUGCAAAAUGUGGUGCCUACAAUGACAUUUCAAUGCUUCUCUCAUUCAUCUCAUCUUAUGAUCGGAUCUGUUUUGGGGUGUUAUUAAAGACCAACCUUUGGAUGAAGAUUUAUGAAUCCUUUAGGUUUUGAUUUCUGAA